CUAUUUACUGCCCCCUGCUGGAAAGGCGUGUGAGUCCAAAAUGUAAUUAGCAACUUUAGCUAAUAUUCAUAGCUGCUCCAAAACUGUUAGUCCUAUCAGCGUUCCGUUUUGGCGGUGUUCAUCCUCUACCCAAAAUACAUAAGCAUGCCAAACCGCAAAUGUCAGCUGUUCUCAGUUUCUCUGUGA